GGACCCAUAGCUCAACAGGAUAGAGCAACUGCCUUCUAAGCAGUAGGUUAGACGUUCGAGUCGUCUUGGGUCCGCCA
rnacentral:tRNA from 1 species